UUGUCGCUGGCUCUCAGGAGCAUGUGCACGCUCGUUCAUAUUCAUUCUCUCUUGUGCACCUUUAGCUAGACUGUGAAUACCUCUCGAGUGAAAAUCUCGGAUUGAGGGCUGCGCCUAACCGUGCUUCUCUUGUAUUUUCAUAGUCUAUGUCUUCAUAUACCCUUUGUAUGUCUUUGAAUGUCUUUUUGUGGGUCUUUGACCUAUAAAAUCUAGUACAACUUUCAACAACGGAUCUCUUGGCUCUCGCAUCGAUGAAGAACGCAGCGAAAUGCGAUAAGUAAUGUGAAUUGCAGAAUUCAGUGAAUCAUCGAAUCUUUGAACGCACCUUGCACCCUUUGGUAUUCCGAAGGGUAUGCCUGUUUGAGUGUCAUUAUAUUCUCAACCAUUGAACUUGUUUCUCUGGCUUGGAUGUGGGGGUUGCGGGCUUCGCAAGAGGUCGGCUCUCCUUAAAUGCAUUAGUGGAAACCGCUUGCAGGAUUCAUUCACUUUUUGGCGUGAUAGUAUCGUCGUCAAAGGUAGUGUCUCCGAGGUAUCUGCUUUCUAACCGUCCUUACGGACUCUUAAUGACUUGUUUGACCUCAAAUCAGGUAGGACUACCCGCUGAACUUAAGCAUAUCAAUAA
rnacentral:rRNA from 1 species